UGAGUUUGAUCCUGGCUCAAGAUGAACGCUGGCGGCGUGCUUAACACAUGCAAGUCGAACGGGGAUGCCAUUUUCGAGGCGGUUAGUUUACUAAGCGCCAAGAUGCUGGCAUCUUAGUGGCGGACGGGUGAGUAACGCGUGGGUAACCUGCCUUAUACAGGGGGAUAACACUUAGAAAUAGGUGCUAAUACCGCAUAAGCGCACGGGGCUGCAUGGCCCAGUGUGAAAAACUCCGGUGGUAUAAGAUGGACCCGCGUCUGAUUAGCUUGUUGGCGGGGUAACGGCCCACCAAGGCGACGAUCAGUAGCCGGCCUGAGAGGGUGGACGGCCACAUUGGGACUGAGACACGGCCCAAACUCCUACGGGAGGCAGCAGUGGGGAAUAUUGGACAAUGGGGGGAACCCUGAUCCAGCGACGCCGCGUGAGUGAAGAAGUAUUUCGGUAUGUAAAGCUCUAUCAGCAGGGAAGAAAGAAAUGACGGUACCUGGCUAAGAAGCCCCGGCUAACUACGUGCCAGCAGCCGCGGUAAUACGUAAGGGGCAAGCGUUAUCCGGAUUUACUGGGUGUAAAGGGAGCGUANACGGUUAUGCAAGUCUGGAGUGAAAGGCGGGGGCCCAACCCCCGGA
rnacentral:rRNA from 1 species